GACAGAGGGUGCAAACGUUGUUCGGAAUUACUGGGCGUAAAGGGCUCGUAGGCGGCCAACUAAGUCAGACGUGAAAUCCCUCGGCUUAACCGGGGAACUGCGUCUGAUACUGGAUGGCUGGAGGUUGGGAGAGGGAUGCGGAAUUCCUGGUGUAGCGGUGAAAUGCGCAGAUAUCAGGAGGAACACCGGUGGCGAAGGCGGAUCUCUGGGCCUUGCCUGACGCUGAGGCGCGAAAGCUAGGGGAGCGAACAGG
rnacentral:rRNA from 1 species